rnacentral:tRNA from 1 species
GGUGCGAUAGUUCAGUUGGUUAGAAUACCGGCCUGUCACGCCGGGGGUCGCGGGUUCAAGUCCCGUUCGCACCG